rnacentral:tRNA from 1 species
UCCUCGUUAGCUCAAGUUGGUAGAGCAGUCCCAAGAUUCGGGAUAAGCACAGGUUCGAUUCCUGUACGAGGAGCCA